UACGGGGGGGGCAAGCGUUGUUCGGAAUUACUGGGCGUAAAGGGCUCGUAGGCGGCCAACUAAGUCGGAUGUGAAAUCCCCAGGCUCAACCUGGGAACUGCAUCCGAUACUGGAUGGCUUGAAUUCGGGAGAGGGAUGCAGAAUUCCAGGUGUAGCGGUGAAAUGCGCAGAUAUCAGGAGGAACACCGGUGGCGAAGGCGGGUCUCUGGGCCGAUACUGACGCUGAGGAGCGAAAGCGUGGGGAGCGAACAGG
rnacentral:rRNA from 1 species